UACGUAGGGUGCGAGCGUUGUCCGGAAUUAUUGGGCGUAAAGAGCUCGUAGGCGGCCUGUCGCGUCGGAUGUGAAAGCCCGGGGCUCAACCCCGGGUCUGCAUUCGAUACGGGCAGGCUAGAGUGUGGUAGGGGAGAUCGGAAUUCCUGGUGUAGCGGUGAAAUGCGCAGAUAUCAGGAGGAACACCGGUGGCGAAGGCGGGACUCUGGGCCGAUACUGACGCUGAGGAGCGAAAGCGUGGGGAGCGAACAGG
rnacentral:rRNA from 1 species